rnacentral:lncRNA from 1 species
CUUUUGGAAAUACUUGGGCAUCAAGACAUUGGCAAAGGAAAGGAUCCUUAAAAAUUUUGAAAUUUUUUUCCAGAUUUGGUUUAAAUCAGAAUCUUUCCAAAUUGAAAGGAAUUUGAUCGCUAUAUAAAAAACCUAAUUCAACAAUCACCUGCACCAAUAAGCAAUUAGAGGAGAAUCAAAGAAAGCAAACAAUUUCAUCAAAUCAGAGCAACGAAGAAGCAAUUCAGCAGCAGGCAUUCAAGUAAUUCAAUGGCAACAAACGCUAAAAAGAUAAGAAAUACAACAACAAAUUUCUAAAAGCAAUUCAUCAGUAAUCAACAGUAGUCCAGCAAUAGGGUCGAUAGCAAUUUUUAACAGUAAUCAAGAAACUGUUAAGCAAGAACAGAAUAUAGCAAUCCCUAGUAAAAAUCAAGGUUAUAUACACAAUUCUCGGCAAUUAGAAGAAUUCUCAGCCAAGAGCAAAGAAUCAGCUAACAAAGCCACAACAGAGCAUAAAUCAGAAAGCAUACAAAUAGCUCAAUUCCCAGAGACCCAACCCAGAAAUCGAACAGCUAUUACGCAGCAAUACACGCAGAAACAAACCCGAAUCUAGAAAACUAGGAUUAACUAUCAAGCAAACCCAUCAGAAGAACCUUGCACCCAACUAACCCACAAACCCCAAUCCACAAAAAAAAUCCAAAAUCAAUCCACCUACAUCAACACAUCAUCAAUAUCAAAUAGAGGUAGGACGCAUAAGUGAGAGAUCAAUCAAGCACACAAUAGAAUGAUUUUUUUUCUUUGGCAGUAGGCUAUUUAAGAUUUUGGGGUUGGGGUUUGUUUUUUAAACAGUAUUCUCUCAGAUCUUUAGGGUAGAGAGAAUGGAAGUUUAUUGGUUAUUUCGACAGUGAUCGAAGUUGUAUUCAGACAACGGCAAAGGUAGUGGGUUAUGUCCAAUUUCUGGGUUAUUGAAUUUUGUUGUUUUGGUGUUGUUCUUGAAAGUUUGAAGGUGGUUGAGAAGUUUAAACAGAAGAGGUGGUAGCUAUUUUUGGUUGAGGCUUCGGGAAGAAAGGUAAGGGAGGAAGAAGGUCAGCAAAAGGAAUAAGAGAAAGGGGCGAAUCUACAAAGGUUUUGGGUUUUGCAACACCGGCACUAGCCAAAAGUGGCGAGACCGACGAUGAAAUUAACGGUGGGACAAGCAGAUUUUUGGGUAGUUGCUCUUCAAGUAGGGAAAAGAAGUACGAUGUUUAGACUUCAGAGAGAGGACGAACAAGAACGAGAAAGCAGAUAGGGAAAAUGAAAAGCGAAUGAAGAUGGUUAAAACGGCAGCAUUUAAACUUAGCCAAAAAAAAAAAAGGAUCUGUUUGCAAUUAAACCCGACUUGACCCGUUCCUUUG